CCAGACUCCUACGGGAGGCAGCAGUGAGGAAUAUUGGUCAAUGGGCGGGAGCCUGAACCAGCCAAGUCGCGUGAGGGACGACGGUCCUAUGGAUUGUAAACCUCUUUUGUCGGGGAACAAAGGCGUCCACGGGUGGGCGGAUGAGUGUACCCGAAGAAAAAGCAUCGGCUAACUCCGUGCCAGCAGCCGCGGUAAUACGGAGGAUGCGAGCGUCAUCCGGAUUUAUUGGGUUUAAAGGGUGCGUAGGCGGACAGUCAAGUCAGCGGUAAAAAUGCGGUGCUCAACGCCGUACAGCCGUUGAAACUGGUUUUCUAGAGUUGGAGAGAAGUAUGCGGAAUUCGUGGUGUAGCGGUGAAAUGCAUAGAUAUCACGAAGAACUCCGAUUGCGAAGGCAGCAUACCGGCUCCAUACUGACGCUGAGGCACGAAAGCGUGGGGAUCGAACAGGAUUAGAUACCCCCGUAGA
rnacentral:rRNA from 1 species